GUAGCCCGAUGGUUGUGUCGCUCACCGACGUAUGAGCGGUGUGAGGAAAGUCCGGGCAACGUAGAGCGCCAUAUUUUCUAACGGGAAGCUGUCGGCGACGGCAGAGUAGCGUGACAGAAAACAACCGCCCGCCACCCUAUCGGGGGCAGGCAAGGGUGAAAAGGUGAGGUAAGAGCUCACCGGGCUUUGCAGCGAUGCAGAGUGCCGCACGCCUUAUGGGUUGCAAGGCCAAGUAUACCGGCAUUUAAGGAUUGCUCGUCCGCUGCCGGGGGGUAGGCUGCUUAAGUGCACACUGUGCACUCAGAUAAAUGACACGACCGCCGGUUCAACCCUCCUCCUGCGGGAUGGAAGUGAACCGACGACAAAACCCGGCUUAUAGUCGGACUACCGUU
rnacentral:RNase_P_RNA from 3 species